CCGACGCUCCAACAGUCCCACGAUUGUCCUCUGCGCAUGUAAAAGCAAAUGAUUUGUUUUGUGUUAAGUGAAAACUCUGCCAAAUUGGCGUUUUUAGCCUGCCGCAGAUGGCAGGAAGGCAUUUGUCAUGCGCUUGGUCGAGAGCGGUGCAGCAUGGAUGCUUACUCUAAGGCCUUUGGGCCUUUGAUUCCGCUGACCAGAGCAUCCCUUUGUGGGAGAACUUCUUACAGCAAGACCUGAUGAUCUCGGAGUUCCAAGUUGGAGUUCUUUUUCACAUUCCUUUAACAGGUCCAGUGCCUUUUCUAUUCUUUCGGUGUCCCGACAGUAAUACACAGAACUUCUGCAGUGCUCUAAAGCACAGAUGAAAUUGUUUCUUGCACGCCUUUCCUUUCUCCUUUGAACUUUUUCUAGAUCCGCCAAUGGUGAUGAAAUCUCAAUUGGUGAGGUCAAACAUGUGAUAUGGCUCUCAUCCUGAAACUCGGCUUCAAUUUCAGCUGUUGCAUUCGUGGUGCGUUCUAGUAUAUGUCUUCCCUUUGGAAAUCACCAGCAGCUGUGAUACGUGCCAUGAUGUGCUUCACUACAUUUGGUGGCCGGUUGUGAAGGUACAGAGGAAGGUCAGGUCGACACAGCCUGUACUCUGUUGUGAACUUGAUGUUUUUUUCAUGAAACAAUCGCUUCCUUUCUGGAAGGAACUGGGUCACAAGGGUACUGAUCAACCCAGAAAGGCUUUUGCGGCCACUGUGGCUUUUUAUGUAAUGCUCUUUAAGCAGUUUGUUUUGUGACUCGAUACCGUUGUUUGUUGUGAUAGGAAGUUCGAGCCUAUGUAGUUUUACCCACAUCUUCUCAACAGAAAACCACACCUCAUUUAAGUAACGCUGCAACUUCUCGUUUGUGAGCCAGGCUUCGGAUGACAACAAGGUUUGCAUUGCGCUGCUGUACUCUUCUGCAGUAACUGCUCUGGCAAUUUUUCUCAGCACUGUGAGCACUAGUUGUGGGUCAUUCACUUUGUUCUCCUUCCUUCUCAACCACCGAUCCCAAGCUCUCUCCCGAUGUACAUCACAGAGAACUACAUGAGCUUCCGGAAACACUUUGGAGAUCGCAUUAAUCUCGGGCAGUGAAUAAUCAACCAUCCAAAACGUGGGGUUGAAAGAGGGGCACCAUUGCUUGAAAACCUGCAUAGCUUCAGAAAUGCUUUCAGCUGUUUCAAACUGUGUUAUGAAUGUUCCUACGUUCAUGUAACCAACUGGUGUCUCCACAGCCAGGAGAAACAAGGGUAGAGCAUAGUCAGUGGUCUUAUGUGUUGCAUCUAGGCACACAACAGUGCCUGCAUAUUUCUGCAUCAGAGAUUUCAUAAAUGCAGAUUGGUAGCAAAAUAUUAGCGUUUCAGAGCACUCACGGGAGACAGUGUGCAAGGUGUCAUCAUUGCAUGAAAAUGUUUCAGGGUUUGGGUCGUCUUGCACCAUGGACUCACAGGAACGGUAUGGCCGAAAAAAGAAACUCGAAGUCGGUUCCUGCUCCUGUAAUGUAUUUAUAAGAGCAGCAGCAUUCUCCUGGUCUACGGCACUGAAGCGAUCUUUCCUCAAUACGGGAGCUGUCGUUGGUUGCAAUGCUCUCGCUUAGCUUGACAAGUGCCUUGCUUUUGGCUUCUCUUCGUGCUGUUGCACUGAGGGAAGGAUCCACCUGCAGGACAGUAUGUACAUCUCGUCCCAGUCAGAAGUGGAGCCUGCCGAAGCCUGAAACCAUAGGAUACAUUAAGGAACCAGCUGGUUUAAGAACUACAGUAGUUUUGUGAAAGUAUGUACAUAGUCAUUCUGAUGGUUCGUCACAUCCGUAAGGGGAAAGCCUAAGCUACAUGAAGGUCAGUCACAAAGAAGAGAAGUGUUCUCCCCAUCGAAUUCUUUUUCGAUGACCUUGUAUGUGAAGAAAGUAGAAACCAAACCGUCUAACCAAAUAACACAGACCGUUGGGCUAGUUGGUAUUCCAUGGCAAAGGCGCUCGUUCCUGUUUGUCUUCCGCUGUCCGUUUUGUAACACUUUGCAGCGUUUUUUGCACCUUUGGCGUCUGACCAAUUCUUUUCUUAUCAUCAUCGUCCCAUAGUUCCAUGCAACGUGAUGAGCUCUGGGAUUUUCUGAAGUCAUCUGUUUCACUUCAUGCAUUUCCAACAGUAUGAAGUGAAAACGCGGAAAUAAAAAUAAACCCACUGACCUACGUUUAAACUAGGUAAAUGACUCGGAGUUUGUGUGUGAGUAUAACAAUUAACUUGCCUUUUCGUCCUGAAUCCCAUGUCGAUCCUUCCCGAAGAUGCACCCCUUCUUUAUAUUGGAUAGAACUUGAAAGGGUAUAUCCAGUGAAAUGGGGACUUCGCCUUUCCCAGUGCUGAACAGGAGCCUAGCUGCAAUGCCGUCAUGUCAUUAAAUAUAAAGUUCGCUGACAUGGUCAUCAUCAUCAUAUAAUUCAACGAAUGUAGUUGUUCAUUGAAAGCAGGAUUGUCAGUUUUAUUUAUUUAUUUAUUUCAUGAUACUGCGGGCACUGCCCAAGCAGGAGGGGAAUAACAAGAAUAUACAAAACUAAACACGGAAACAGCGUCCUCAAAUUGGUUAAUUGUACAGCUGGCAACAUCAAAAGACAACGAGUUCCAUUCAGGUAUCGUUUUCACAAAAAACGAGUUUUUAAAAAUAUUCGUACGAGCAAAUAACGGCUUAAAGGAGUAAGGAUGAUGAUGACGUGAGGAACGCGCUUGCAAGGGAAGAAGAAACGAUCCUGAGUCUAAUCUGAUAUUGCCCUUAAAUAUCUGAAACAAAAAUUUUAAACGAGCAAUUUUUCUCCUUUUCAGUAAGGUUGGAAUAUUUGCGUUCGACAUAAGGAUGGAGUUACUUUUAUAAUGUACCUGGGUUACAGCUAGUACAUGCUAAAAGUGUUUUAGUUAUAGCUAGAGAUACCACAAGAAAAACUACACAGGCACAGUUACAGCUAUUCACAAAAAGUACUAGACACACCUACUUUUCUUGGUCUUUUCCAAUAUUCCCUACAAAUUGCUGUUGCUGAACAGGAUGGGCACACAACAACAAAAGAACAAAAAACCUAAGCUCAGUCUUGACUGUGACCCACUGAUGGAUCGGGGGAGGGGGGGCUAUCACCCUCCACCCCCCCCCCCCCCAAAAAAAAAAACGUGUGAGUGCAAGUGCUCACAGUUUAAUGCAGCAGCUAUUCCAAACCCAAACUUUUCAUUGUGUGUGCGUCAUUUGCUGUGUAUCCCUUGUUUGCAAACUUUAGUGCUGUAGAAGUUGUAGAAGAAAAAAACAAUAAAAAACUGAAGAGCAGA